rnacentral:tRNA from 1 species
GGCAGCGUGGCUUACUGGAAAGAGCACGGGCUUUGGAGUCAGAAGUCAUGGGUUCGAACCCCGGCUCUGCCA